GAUGAACGCUGGCGGCGUGCCUAAUACAUGCAAGUCGAGCGAACGGACGAGAAGCUUGCUGCUCUGAUGUUAGCGGAGGACGGGUGAGUAACACGUGGAUAACCUACUUAUAAGACUGGGAUAACUUCGGGAAACCGGCGCUAAUACCGGAGAAUAUUUUGAACCGCAUGGUUCAAAAGUGAAAGACGGUCUUGCGGUCACUUAUAGAUGGAUCCGCGCUGCAUUAGCUAGUUGGUAAGGUAACGGCUUACCACGGCGACGAGGCAUAGCCGACCUGAGAGACUGAUCGGCGACAUUGGAGGUUGACCAGGCACCAGAGUCCUACGAGAGGGAGCAGAAGGGUAUGUGCGGCAGUGGUCGGAAGCAUGACAGAACGGCGCGAAGUCAGUGAUGAAAGUCUUCGGAUCGGAAAACUCUGUUAUUAGGGAUGAACAGAUGUGUAAGUAACUGUGCACAGCGUGACGGUACCUAGUCAGAAAGCAACGGCUAACUACGUG
rnacentral:rRNA from 1 species